rnacentral:lncRNA from 1 species
AUGGAUUCAAAAAGACAUCUGAGGGAAGUGGAGAGGAAGACAUCCUGUUGUGCCAGGUUUUCCUCUAGAGCAGAAACCAAUCCAAACCAGCUGCGGGGAUGGACUCCCGUCUUUAUUUUCACAUAUGGGCAGCCUGUACACGAGUCUUUGUGCUUACGGGUUUGCAUUCCUGGAAAACCACUAAAGGGAAAAUGCAAGGGGAAGCUUGGGAUGAGGAACAGCCACCACAGCUACUCUCUGGGGCUUGGACUUAGGGACUGUGGACACCGGGUAGAACAGCGGGUUGGGGUGUUCUGUUACCAAGCAGGAGGCAACAGGUUGACCAGCUCGCUCUGCUAA